GUGGAUUGUACUAGAAGUUCGCAGRCCAACCGCAAGGRGGYAGCGACCCAAGGUAUGAYUCAUGAUUGGGGUGAAGUCGUAACAAGGUAGCCGUAGGUGAACCUGCAGAAGGAUCA
rnacentral:rRNA from 1 species